UACGGCGAGUGAAGCGGCAACAGCUCAAUUUGAAAUCUGGCGGCCUCUGGGCCGUCCGAGUUGUAAUUUGAAGAGGAUGCUUUUGGCGAGGCGCCUUCCGAGUGCCCUGGAACGGGACGCCACAGAGGGUGAGAGCCCCGUAUGGUUGGACGCCGAGCCUCUGUAAAGCUCCUUCGACGAGUCGAGUAGUUUGGGAAUGCUGCUCAAAAUGGGAGGUAAACCCCUUCUAAAGCUAAAUACUGGCCAGAGACCGAUAGCGCACAAGUAGAGUGAUCGAAAGAUGAAAAGCACUUUGAAAAGAGAGUUAAACAGCACGUGAAAUUGUUGAAAGGGAAGCGCUUGCGACCAGACUUGUGCCCGUCGAAUCAGCCGCCGCUCGUCGGCGGCGCACUUCGGCGGGCUCAGGCCAGCAUCAGUUCGCUGCAGGGGGAGAAAGGCGAUGGGAAUGUGGCUCUUCGGAGUGUUAUAGCCCGCCGCGCAAUACCCCUCGGCGGACUGAGGACCGCGCAUCUGCAAGGAUGCU
rnacentral:rRNA from 1 species